AAGGGGGCGUCCCUUCUGGGACGCCACCGGCGGACGGCUCAGUAACACGUCGGUAACCUACCCUCGGGAGGGGGAUAACCCCGGGAAACUGGGGCUAAUCCCCCAUAGGCCUGGGGUACUGGAAGGUCCCCAGGCCGAAAGGGGACCGUAAGGUCCCGCCCGAGGAUGGGCCGGCGGCCGAUUAGGUAGUUGGUGGGGUAACGGCCCACCAAGCCGAAGAUCGGUACGGGCCGUGAGAGCGGGAGCCCGGAGAUGGACACUGAGACACGGGUCCAGGCCCUACGGGGCGCAGCAGGCGCGAAACCUCCGCAAUGCGGGAAACCGCGACGGGGGGACCCCCAGUGCCGUGCCUCUGGCACGGCUUUUCCGGAGUGUAAAAAGCUCCGGGAAUAAGGGCUGGGCAAGGCCGGUGGCAGCCGCCGCGGUAAUACCGGCGGCCCGAGUGGUGGCCACUAUUAUUGGGCCUAAAGCGGCCGUAGCCGGGCCCGUAAGUCCCUGGCGAAAUCCCACGGCUCAACCGUGGGGCUCGCUGGGGAUACUGCGGGCCUUGGGACCGGGAGAGGCCGGGGGUACCCCCGGGGUAGGGGUGAAAUCCUAUAAUCCCGGGGGGACCGCCAGUGGCGAAGGCGCCCGGCUGGAACGGGUCCGACGGUGAGGGCCGAAGGCCAGGGGAGCGAACCGGAUUAGAUACCCGGGUAGUCCUGGCUGUAAAGGAUGCGGGCUAGGUGUCGGGCGAGCUUCGAGCUCGCCCGGUGCCGUAGGGAAGCCGUUAAGCCCGCCGCCUGGGGAGUACGGCCGCAAGGCUGAAACUUAAAGGAAUUGGCGGGGGAGCACUACAAGGGGUGGAGCGUGCGGUUUAAUUGGAUUCAACGCCGGGAACCUCACCGGGGGCGACGGCAGGAUGAAGGCCAGGCUGAAGGUCUUGCCGGACGCGCCGAGAGGAGGUGCAUGGCCGCCGUCAGCUCGUACCGUGAGGCGUCCACUUAAGUGUGGUAACGAGCGAGACCCGCGCCCCCAGUUGCCAGUCCCUCCCGCUCGGGAGGGAGGCACUCUGGGGGGACUGCCGGCGAUAAGCCGGAGGAAGGGGCGGGCGACGGUAGGUCAGUAUGCCCCGAAACCCCCGGGCUACACGCGCGCUACAAUGGGCGGGACAAUGGGACCCGACCCCGAAAGGGGAAGGGAAUCCCCUAAACCCGCCCUCAGUUCGGAUCGCGGGCUGCAACUCGCCCGCGUGAAGCUGGAAUCCCUAGUACCCGCGCGUCAUCAUCGCGCGGCGAAUACGUCCCUGCUCCUUGCACACACCGCCCGUCACUCCACCCGAGCGGGGCCCGGGUGAGGCCCGAUCUCCUUCGGGAGGUCGGGUCGAGCCUGGGCUCCGUGAGGGGGGAGAAGUCGUAACAAGGUAGCC
rnacentral:rRNA from 1 species